ACGGGGGGGGCUAGCGUUGUUCGGAAUUACUGGGCGUAAAGGGCGCGUAGGCGGCCUACUAAGUCAGACGUGAAAUCCCCCGGCUUAACCUGGGAACUGCGUCUGAUACUGGAAGGCUUGAGUAUGGGAGAGGGAUGUAGAAUUCCAGGUGUAGCGGUGAAAUGCGUAGAUAUCUGGAGGAACACCAGAGGCGAAGGCGGCUCGCUGGGCUUGGUCUGACGCUGAGGCGCGAAAGCGUGGGGAGCGAACAGGA
rnacentral:rRNA from 1 species